rnacentral:rRNA from 1 species
AUUGAACGCUGGCGGCAUGCCUUACACAUGCAAGUCGAACGGCAGCACGGGGCAACCUGGUGGCGAGUGGCGAACGGGUGAGUAAUGCAUCGGAACGUACCUUUCAGUGGGGGAUAACGUAGCGAAAGUUACGCUAAUACCGCAUAUUCUGUGAGCAGGAAAGAAGGGGAUCGCAAGACCUUGCGCUGAUUGAGCGGCCGAUGUCAGGUUAGCUAGUUGGUGAGGUAAAGGCUCACCAAGGCGACGAUCUGUAGCGGGUCUGAGAGGAUGAUCCGCCACACUGGAACUGAGACACGGUCCAGACUCCUACGGGAGGCAGCAGUGGGGAAUUUUGGACAAUGGGGGCAACCCUGAUCCAGCCAUGCCGCGUGAGUGAAGAAGGCCUUCGGGUUGUAAAGCUCUUUCGGCCGGGAAGAAAUCGCACGGGCUAAUACCCUGUGUGGAUGACGGUACCGGAAUAAGAAGCACCGGCUAACUACGUGCCAGCAGCCGCAGUAAGAC